UACGUAGGGUGCAAGCGUUGCCCGGAUUUAUUGGGCGUAAAGGGCGCGCAGGCGGCUACGCACGUCCGUUGUGAAAUCGCUCGGCUCAACUGGGCGGGGUCGGCGGAUACGGCGUAGCUGGAGCAAGCUAGGGGGCAAUGGAAUUCCCGGUGUAGUGGUGGAAUGCGUAGAUAUCGGGAGGAACACCAGUGGCGAAGGCGGUUGCCUGGAGCUUUGCUGACGCUGAGGCGCGAAAGCGUGGGGAGCGAACGAGG
rnacentral:rRNA from 1 species